ACUCAAAUGAAUUGACGGGGACCUGCACAAGCGGUGGAGCAUGUGGUUUAAUUCGACGCAACGCGAAGAACCUUACCUGGGUUAAAUCAGAGUCGCAAGGCACAGAGAUGUGUCCCCCUAGCAAUAGGCGGCUUUGAAGGUGCUGCAUGGCUGUCGUCAGCUCGUGUCGUGAGAUGUUGGGUUAAGUCCCGCAACGAGCGCAACCCUUACCACUAGUUGCCAGCAUUUAGUUGGGGACUCUAGUGGAACUGCCGGUGAUAAACCGGAGGAAGGUGGGGAUGACGUCAAGUCAUCAUGGCCUUUAUGUCCAGGGCUACACACGUGCUACAAUGGACGGUACAGACCGCUGCAAACCCGCGAGGGGGAGCUAAUCGGAAAAAGCCGUUCUCAGUUCGGAUUGGAGUCUGCAACUCGACUCCAUGAAGUUGGAAUCGCUAGUAAUCGCGUAUCAGCACGACGCGGUGAAUACGUUCCCAGGUCUUGUACACACCGCCCGU
rnacentral:rRNA from 1 species